AGCAGCCGCGGUAAUUCCAGCUCCAAUAGCGUAUAUUAAAGUUGUUGCAGUUAAAAAGCUCGUAGUUGAAUUUCGGGAUCUGUCCGUCGGUCGGGCUUCACGGUCCGCACUGGUGUGAUGGAUUCCUACCUUCUGAAUAACCAGUAUGUCAUUAAUUUGAUGUGCCGGGGAAGCAGAACCAUUACCUUGAAAAAAUUAGAGUGCUCAAAGCAGGCUUGCGCCUGAAUACAUUAGCAUGGAAUAAUAAAAUAGGACGGCAUGGUUCUAUUUUGUUGGUUUCUAGGAUCACCGUAAUGAUUAAUAGGGAUAGUUGGGGGCAUUAGUAUUCAAUUGUCAGAGGUGAAAUUCUUGGAUUUAUUGAAGACUAACUUCUGCGAAAGCAUUUGCCAAGGAUGUUUUCAUUAAUCAAGAACGAAAGUUAGGGGAUCGAAGACGAUCAGAUACCGUCGUAGUCUUAACCAUAAACUAUGCCGACUAGGGAUCGGACGAUGUUAAUUUUAUAAUGACUCG
rnacentral:rRNA from 1 species